CUAGGAAUUGAAUUGGGCUUGAUGUUCCCAAUCGACAAUCAACUAGAACGUCUUCCAAGGAGAGUGUGUUGAUGUGCUACAAUAAGGAAAUCGGAUUUUUUUAAUAACAAACCCUAACAUCAGACAAACAAAUUAACAAAGUGACUCAUCCUUCAUUACACGAAGCUGCUGGAUAUUCGUGUUACAGCAAACUGCUGCAUAAUGUCCAAAUUCGUGGCACGAGUUGCACUUCCUUCGCAACGCUGGACACGGGAAAUUCUUGUGCGAAUACUGGUUACACCUUGGACAGCGGUUGCUACGAACACGAUCUCGCGAAUCACGCCGAAAGCUAUGUUCUUCACGAGGUCGCUUCGCGGUUGUUGGCCUGUUCCAGUCACCAGGUCGUGAACGCUUCUGGCUUCGACGGCCAUUCGACUCAAGACGGCCACGAUACACAGCAUACACAUCUGACGAUUCGCUGACUGCUGUUUCAGCUUGAUAUGAUGCAUCACGGGUAGCAGCCUGGACUAUGUACUGAGUAUCAUACCCAUACGUUCGAGCGGCCUUUACAAGCUCCUUGUUCCUCAGUCCCUUGAGAAGUUGCGAUCGAACGAAUCUAUCUUGAUCUGCCGGGCUGUACUCACACAAGCGGACUUUUUCCAUUAAGCGAGCAUGGAAAGCAAUUGCUGACUCGGAUGUUUCCUGCCUCAUGUUUGAAAACGCCUCGUGCUCGGCUGCUGAAUCGGUCAUUGUUUGGAGGUAGCUCUUGAUGUUGCUGACGAAAACGCGGUAGCAGUUCGCGUCGUUCAGCUCGGGCCUUAGCUUUGCUGCCCUGAUGAUGCCUUGAAAUUCCUCACCAACCGAAAGAAACAGCAAUUGGCACCUUCGGACUGGAUCAUUUGCGUUGUUGAGAGUGGCAGCAAUCUCGAAGUUCUCGAUAUAUCGGUUCCACUCUCCCCACAUUUUGUUGGCCGGCACUCCGUUCGGAAAGGGUUUGAUAUUAUCCCAACGGAUGCUUGAUGAGCAAGGGUCCGAAACUCCGGCGAGGGCAGCGGGGGCACUCCAGGUUUGAUCGGUAUCCUUGAUCGGGAUCAUCGGAGCUCGCAGUACAUUCAAUGCCUUCGUGAUGUCUGCCAGUACAUUCUCCAUUCUUUGAAGGUGGUCGCCGUCGCUAAUUGGGUUUGCAUUACUCGUAGUUUGCGAAGUACUUCCAUGAUUGCCAGACAUACCGCCCUGAGAGUAACUUGCCUCAUCGUCGUCACAAGAUGAGCUGGAGGAAGCUCGGCUUUUUCCAUCGGAACCUACCUCCGCACUCGAAUCAUCCUGGCCAUAAUCUUCCUCGCUGUCAAACUCGCUGCUCUCACUAUCGGACACGACAGGGGCCCGGACGUACUUUCCAUCACUUUCCAUUUUGAUAACUUUGUUCCUGCGUUGUAUCAAUCUGAAAUACGUAAAUAUUUUCACAUAGAACUAUUUGAGAACUAUUCUCUUAUCAAAUAAACAGUGAACACGCGUGCAAUUUUAGGGGCUUCUCUUUUUCUUUCUUCAGUAUUGUUACUGUGGACUUACUAUGCCACGCUGGAAACAAGUUGUCGGAAAUAAGAGUUUUUUUACAAUCUGGUCUUACUUUGCCAGGUGGAAUACACAACAACAUAACUUUUGUGGACAUUUUGAUACCGUGGUCUUACUGUGCCAUUGGGUAAUGUAUUUUUAACUUUCUAUUAGAGUUUUCGUAUCUUUGAACAUCGUGGUCUUACUGUGCCAUACAUGAUCUUCAAAUUCUGCGAGCAUUCAAGUUUUCUCUAACACUACGGACUUACUAUGCCAGUUAGAAUGAAUAUAAUCGCAAUUGGACGCCUGAAAACUGUGGUCUUACUAUGCCAGUUCGAAUACGCAUUACACUUUAUAUGGGUGUUCCGGUUGAGGAACCGUUUCACUUUAGACGCUGUGGGCUUACUGUGCCACUCAAC